GACGAACGCUGGCGGCGUGCUUAACACAUGCAAGUCGAGCGGUGCGGCGAACGGGUGAGUAACGCGUGAGUAACUGCCCCCCUCUCUGGGAUAACAGAUGGAAACGGCUGCUCAUACCGGAUAGUGGGGGAUGAAUCGCGUCCUAUAAGCUUGUUGGUGGGGUAGGGGCCUACGAAGGCGACGACGGGUUGCCGGCCUGGCGGGGCGAACGGCCACAUUGUGCUGUGAUACGGGCCAAACUCCUACGGGAGGCAGCGGUGGGGAAUAUUGCACAAUGGGGGAAACCCUGAUGCAGCAACGCCGCGUGCGGGAUGUCGGCCUUCGGGUUGUGAACCGCUUUCAGCCAUGACGCGGUAGUGGCAGAAGAAGCACCGGCUAACUACGUGCCAGCAGCCGCGGUAAUAC
rnacentral:rRNA from 1 species